UCUCCUACGGGACGCAGCAGUGAGGAAUAUUGGUCAAUGGGCGGAAGCCUGAACCAGCCAAGUCGCGUGAGGGAAUAAGGCCCUACGGGUCGUAAACCUCUUUUGCCGGGGAGCAAGGGCGGGGACGUGUCCCGGCCCGGAGAGUACCCGGAGAAAAAGCAUCGGCUAACCCCGUGCCAGCAGCCGCGGUAAUACGGAGGAUGCGAGCGUUAUCCGGAUUUAUUGGGUUUAAAGGGUGCGUAGGCGGGCUUUUAAGUCAGCGGUAAAAAUGCGGAGCUCAACUCCGUCGAGCCGUUGAAACUGUU
rnacentral:rRNA from 1 species